CAGAGGGUGCGAGCGUUAAUCGGAAUUACUGGGCGUAAAGCGCGCGUAGGCGGUUUUGUAAGUCGGGUGUGAAAUCCCCAAGCUUAACUUGGGAACUGCAUUCGAGACUGCAUAGCUAGAGUAUGGGAGAGGGAAGUGGAAUUUCAGGUGUAGCGGUGAAAUGCGUAGAUAUCUGAAGGAACAUCAGUGGCGAAAGCGACUUCCUGGACCAAUACUGACGCUCAUGUGCGAAAGCGUGGGGAGCAAACAGGAUUAGAUACCCUGGUAGUCCACGCCAUAAACGAUGAGAACUGGAUGUCGGGGGGGUCUGCCCUCCGGUGUCGUAGCUAACGCGUUAAGUUCUCCGCCUGGGGAGUACGGCCGCAAGGUUG
rnacentral:rRNA from 1 species